rnacentral:rRNA from 1 species
UACAGGGGGUGCAAACGUUGCUCGGAAUUAUUGGGCGUAAAGCGCGCGUAGGCGGCUACUUAAGUCGGAUGUGAAAGCCCCUGGCUCAACUGGGGAAGUGCACCCGAAACUGGGUAGCUUGAGUGCAAAAGAGGGCCGCGGAAUUCCCGGUGUAGAGGUGAAAUUCGUAGAUAUCGGGAGGAACACCAGUGGCGCAAGCGGCGGCCUGGGUAUGACCUGACACUGAGCCACGACGGCGUGGGGAGCAAACGGG